CUGGCCCUUCAAAGAGCAGCACUGAACAGGCCCUAUCCAUGCUUAUAGGUUUCCUGGUUCCUAGUUUGUCAUAUAGUUCUGCUAUUUUGAAAAAUAUAUAUGCCUGGGGAACCAGUGCAAGUGAAACAUGUUAUCCAGAGAUGUAAAGCCAAAAUGACAAAGCGGUCUUUCCAGAUGAAGCUACUAGCAAGGUCUGGGGAAUACUGGAAAACUCAACAAGCUCCUUUGUCAGCUCCAAACUUCACGGGCCUCGUGUAAAACCAAAAUGAUAAAGCAGUUUGUCCAGAUGAAGCUACUAGCAAGGUCUGGGGAAUACUGGAAAACUCAACAAGCUCCUUUGUCAACUCCAAAGCCUCUGUUACAAUGUUUGCUGUGAGUGAAAACUUGUUAAAGAGGAUGAACGCGGAGUCGCCAUGCAGGGGGGGGUGACUGGGGACUUCUCUGUGUUUUCGGCCGCGGCGGCCAGCUCUGUAAGGGGCUCAACUCGGUUCUGCUCUGGUUCUGAUGCUGGCCGGCCAGCAGGCCCCCGCAGCUCAAGCCCAACUCCAGGACAGGCAGUAGUGGAACGAACAAAGGAGUUCAUUCUCUAAGGGGGAGGGAUGAAGGAGGCGUUUGGAGAUGAGGAAAAUGAGCGAGGGAGGGGCGGGUGUUGGCGAACCCAACGCACGGGGUCUUAUCCUCGCGGCUCAAACACAUGCCACCAGCUGCUUCCCCCCUUCCUGCGCUUUCAUUAAAAAGCUUCACUGUUCUUCGCUGGGUAAUCCUCAUGCUUUGCAGAUUGUGUGCGAUGCAAACACUUUUACCAUCUCUAGCCUGUCUAUAUUUUUGUCAUACUGACCACUCCUGUGUGUGUGUGUGUGUGUGUCUACCUGCACCAUUUGGAACUGUCAGUGUUUCCAGCUCAGAGCCAAGCUUUGCCAGAGGGAGCGCCUGCAAUGUAGGGCGCCCAACCCAAGUAUGCUGGACGCAGGCUGAAUAUCAACGCCACACGGCAGACACUCCUCCCUGCAGCCCACCUGCUGACUUGCGUGAUCCAAACGCAAGGAGGAGGAGGAGGAGGGGGUGGAUGCAAGGGUGUAGGGAGGGGAUUACUGCAGGAAAUUGCCAGGUAGUUUCCAGACCCCUUUCCCUGUGUUGCGCCCAAUUAAUCAGGACCACAUCUGUGCUGAAUGCACCUCUACAUAAAGAGGAGGUGGGGGUGUUUGUCAGCAUCUAUACACAUGUUUUACGUGUUUGUGCGCUUGCGAGUAGAUUGUUGUCAAAUGUGUUGGUAUGACGUAACUGGUACCACGUUAGCAUACAUUUACUUAAACCACGGACUACCGGGCACUAAUUUCUUGUUUUGAGCCAGGGCAGGUUGCGUGUCGGUCAAUAAUGAAAUCAUGGCCCAAAAUGGCCAAAAUAUGAACAUUGUUGUCUCUUAGCUCUGUAUUCUCCUGUGCAGCAGGUCCUCGGUUUACAAGGUGCCGUAUUUACGACACACUCUCAUAAAUUACUUCAAAACUUACUUUUGAUCGAAGUGUUUUGGUUCAUAAAUACAAGACUCAAUGAGAAUUAGUCAAAUGUGCAUAGCGGAAAAAUACCUAGCUUCACUUAGGAGGUUUUUUUCUUGCCUCUUUUAAUUCCCACAAGCCUGUCUCUCCCUCCCUUGCAACACCCUUUCCACUGUGGAAGGCAGGGUUGCUAACACAUUUUGAGCCUGCGAGUCCCAAAAUUUACAUAUACUAUAAAGCUAGAAAAUACAUAUAUUUACUAUAUAUAUUUUUUUUUUACAAAAGACCACGUCCGCAGUCAACAAGUGAACAGAUAACUUUUGUUAUAGAUGUAAUCAUCUUACCUCCAAGUUAGUUUAUCCGAAUCAGAAUAAUAAAGUUGAAAGUUGCAUCAUAGCUCUUGCUACACUGGGGAGGUAGCAAGAGCGAAUCAGUAAGGGAGCUUAUUGUCAGCUGACUGAUGUCAUAUGACAACGACAAAGUGAUGUUUAUGCAAUCCACCCUAGGUGAUCUACCGGUAGCUUGCAAUCGAUGUAAUGAGCAACCCUGUUGAAAGUAACAUUGUGAGUGACUUAUAGUGGGCGGUAAAAGUCCAGACUAAGACAAAAAAUCGACAUACAGCAGGAAUGGAGCUUGUUCAUAAACCGAAGAACUCCUGUAUGAUACUCCACAGUCUCUACUUUGCCACAGUUCCCCGUUUUCUUGCUGCCCAAGGUCUCAUCUCAAAUAAAAUACUCCUUACCACAACACGCAGACGCUCAUCGUUGAAUAUUGCUGUUGUUUGUUAGCAUGUGUGCAGUGUGUUGCUUCGCAGUUUCACCCCAAAC